GGAAUUUUCCGCAAUGGGCGAAAGCCUGACGCAGCAACGCCGCGUGGAGGAUGAAGGCCCUCGGGUCGUAAACUCCUGUCAGUGGGGAAGAAUGCUUCGGUUUGACUGUACCCGCUGAGGAAGCCACGGCUAACUCCGUGCCAGCAGCCGCGGUAAUACGGAGGUGGCAAGCGUUGUUCGGAAUUACUGGGCGUAAAGGGCGCGUAGGCGGCUUGGCAAGUCAGGUGUGAAAUCCCCGAGCUUAACUUGGGAAUUGCACCUGAAACUGUCGAGCUUGAGUCCUGGAGGGGAUAGCGGAAUUCCCAGUGUAGCGGUGAAAUGCGUAGAUAUUGGGAGGAACACCUGCGGCGAAGGCGGCUAUCUGGACAGUGACUGACGCUGAGGCGCGAAAGCUAGGGGAGCGAAUGGGAUUAGAUACCCCAGUAGUC
rnacentral:rRNA from 1 species